rnacentral:rRNA from 1 species
AGGACGAACGCUGGCGGCGUGCUUCAUACAUGCAAGUCGAACGAGAAGCUGACUUCGGUCAGUGGAAAGUGGCGGACGGGUGAGUAAUAUGUAGGAAAUCUGCCCUAGAGAGGGGGACAACAGAGGGAAACUUCUGCUAAUACCCCAUAUGAGCUUAGUUGAAAUACUAAUCUUGAAAACUCCGGUGCUCUGGGAUGAGCCUGCAUCUGAUUAGCUAGUUGGCGGUGUAAUGGACCACCAAGGCGACGAUCAGUAGCUGGUUUGAGAGGAUGAUCAGCCACAAUGGGACUGAGACACGGCCCAUACUCCUACGGGAGGCAGCAGUAGGGAAUUUUGCGCAAUGGGCGAAAGCCCUGACGCAGCAACGCCGCGUGAACGAUUAAGCCCUUCGGGGUGUAAAGUUCUGUCAGUGGGGACGAAACUUGACGGUACCCACAGAGGAAGCACCGGCUAACUCCGUGCCAGCCGCCGC